AAUCUCUUGUGAUGUUUUUGCACUGGGCUCAGAAAAUCAGUGGUGACACAAGUGCAACUCUGCCCCUGACAAGGCAGAGUCUGAUGAGAAA
rnacentral:snoRNA from 1 species